rnacentral:hammerhead_ribozyme from 1 species
AUCCAACUGACGAGUUCCUAAUAGGACGAAACGUACAUCCUGGAU